AACCACCGUGCUGCGUUGACCUGACCAAAGGCAAUGUGAGUGCUGACAUGGUGGGGGAAACUUAUCGUGAGCAGGCUGCAAGACAUCCCUGUGUGAAGGCUAUAAUUUUCAACACUAAAAAUGGACAACUUUGUGCUGAUCCAAACGCUCAGUGGGUCAAAGAUCUCACUGCCAGAAUGACGAAGGCGCACAAGUGAAG